ensembl:lncRNA
UUUCUGGGACACAAAUGCACGGGAGCCAAAUAACAACAGUCUUUUAAGGACAGUAAGGCAAAAUACAGGAACUGGGACAUUUCUAACAGGUUCUCUACCAGCUUCUGGUACCAGACCCUCAUGUGGAGUGAAGCUACAAAGCCUAUGGAAAUACAUGAGGUGAUUUUAUUCUGCUUAGAAAAAUAACCCACGGCCAGCCUCACUGUUGCCAAUACUAUGACAAGAAAACUUCAGCUCUUGUACGUGGUGAUGGGACAUCCAGCAGGAACGCUUUUUUCCUAAAUGGCUAUCUGCUAUUCAUGAACAAUUAAACAGUUGAGAAUGGAGUACAUAAUCC